rnacentral:rRNA from 1 species
AUUGAACGCUAGCGGGAUGCUUUACACAUGCAAGUCGAACGAGUGGCGGACGGGUGAGGAAUAUAUAGGAAAGUGCCCAGUAGCGGGGGAUAAGUAAUCGCAAGAGUGGCUAAUAACGCAAACUAUACGAGCGGCCGAUAUCGGAUUAGCUAGGUGGGUGGGUAAAGGCUCACCAAGGCAACGAUCCGUAGCUUGUUUGAGAGGACGACCAGCCACACGGGGACUGAGACACGGCCCAGACUCCUACGGGAGGCAUCAGUGGGUAAUGUUGGACAAUGGGCGAAACCCUGAUCCAGCCAUCCCGCGUGUAUGAGAAGGCCUUCGGUUUGUAAAGUACUUUUGGCAGAGAAGCGGUAUCUGCAGAAUAAGCGCCGGCUAACUACGUGCCAGCAGCCGCGGUAAUUC